rnacentral:rRNA from 1 species
UACGGGGGGGGCAAGCGUUGUUCGGAAUUACUGGGCGUAAAGGGCUCGUAGGCGGCCAACUAAGUCAGACGUGAAAUCCCUCGGCUUAACCGGGGAACUGCAUCUGAUACUGGAUGGCUUGAGUUCGGGAGAGGGAUGCGGAAUUCCAGGUGUAGCGGUGAAAUGCGUAGAUAUCGGGAAGAACACCCGUGGCGAAGGCGGUUCUCUGGGACGGUACUGACGCUGAGACGCGAAAGCGUGGGGAGCGAACAGG